UUUUCUUAGACUAGAAAAUUGAACGCGCUUCUGUCAAAAUGUUUAUUAUCGACAAUUUAAUUAAUCAAUAUUUUUACAAAUUUUUCUCAUUAAUAUUUAACCAUUGCCGUAUGGUUAACAUAGCAACGAAAAGCGACAACAAUGAAAACGUUACAUCAACUUUUU